UCCUCUAUGGUCUAGUGGCUAGGAUCCCGGUCUCUCACACCGGUGGCCCGGGUUCAAUUCCCGGUGGGGGAA
rfam:Lichtheimia corymbifera JMRC:FST:9682, FST 9682, WGS project CBTN01000000 data, contig: SCAF00014